GUGGCCGUGUAGUCGGAGGUGGCGUCGGCGUCCAGCAGGGCGUUCUCGCCGAACCGGUCGCCGUCGGCGAGGACGGCCACCGCGACCUGGUCGCCGUACUUGCCACCGUGGUCUGGCUGAUGCGGCCGUGGGCGAUCAGGUGGAUGUGCUCCGCGGGGGCGCCGCGCUCGACCAGCACCUCACCGGCGCGGAAGUCGCGCUGGACGCACCGGUCGGCGAGGGUGGCGAGCACUUCCUCGUCGUCGAAGCCGCGCAGCAUGGCGAGUUCGCCGAGCUCGCGGGGGAUCACCCUGACGCGGGCACCGUCCUGGACGAACUCGAUGUGUCCGUCGCCGACGGUGUAGGUCAGCCGGCGGUUCACCCGGUAGGUGCCGCCCUUCGUCUCCACCCAGGGGAGCAUCCUCAGCAGCCAGCGGGAGGUGAUCUCCUGCAUCUGCGGGGCGGACUUGGUCGUGGUGGCGAGAUUACGGGCGGCCGCCGUGCCCAGGCUGGUCUGCUGGGGCUGUUCCA
rnacentral:antisense_RNA from 1 species